GACGGACGGUGCAAGCGUUGCUCGGAAUCACUGGGCGUAAAGGGUGCGUAGGCGGCCGUGCAAGUCUGGCGUGAAAGCCCCGGGCUCAGCCCGGGAAGUGCGCUCGAAACUGCGCGGCUCGAGUGCCGGAGGGGAGAGUGGAAUUCUCGGUGUAGAGGUGAAAUUCGUAGAUAUCGAGAGGAACACCGGUGGCGAAGGCGGCGAUCUGGACGAUGACUGACGCUGAGACGCGAAAGCGUGGGGAGCAAACAGG
rnacentral:rRNA from 1 species